GUGGGAUGGCUGCAGACAUUUGUCCAGAUCCGGGGAUUCCUGAGAAUGGGAAAAGAACUGGCUCCAGCUUCCAGGUCGGAGCCAGCAUCCAGUUUUCCUGUGACGACAGCUACGUAUUGCAGGGAUCAAAGAGCAUCACUUGCCAGAGAGUGACUGAGACCCUGGUGGCCUGGAGUGACCACAGGCCUAUCUGUCGGACUAGGACCUGUGGCUCUAAUCUGCGGGGCCCUAAAGGCAUCAUAACGUCUCCAAAUUACCCCGUCCAGUAUGAGA